GUAUUACUUAUGUGUUUUGCAGAAUUUACAGAAGGAAUUUGCAAACCAGAAUUUAGGCAUUUAAAAACAACAGUGAGUCAAUCACGGUCUUAUAGAUGGAAAUUGACUUACUAUUUAAAAGUAUCCCAAAUCUUCACUAAGGUUGUAAUCAUGGAACACUGAGUUGUAGUGAAAAACCAAACUGCCAAAUUUAGGUUAAAAUAACUAAGCUGUAAAUAUAGCUAAGUGGAAGAAAUUUCCAAAUCAAUACUUUUUUGCCAAAAUUUAGCAUUUCAGAUGUUACUUCACUACCAUGCGGUGUUUAUUGAAUAAACCUCUGUAUCUUUUGAGAGCAAGAUUGGUGACAAUAUAAUUUUAAAGUAUUCAAGCAUACAAAAAGCAAAAUUGAACCUUUCAUUCACGUUGCUUUUUAUAUUAUUAUUAUUAU